GAUGAACGCUGGCGGUAUGCUUAACACAUGCAAGUCGAACGGACUCUUCGGAGUUAGUGGCGGACGGGUGAGUAACGCGUGAGAAUCUGGCUUUGGGUUCGGGACAACCACUGGAAACGGUGGCUAAUACCGGAUGUGCCGAGAGGUAAAAGAGAAAUUGCCUGAAGAUGAGCUCGCGUCUGAUUAGCUAGUUGGUGAGGUAAAGGCUCACCAAGGCAGCGAUCAGUAGCUGGUCUGAGAGGAUGACCAGCCACACUGGGACUGAGACACGGCCCAGACGCCUACGGGAGGCAGCAGUGGGGAAUUUUCCGCAAUGGGCGAAAGCCUGACGGAGCAAUACCGCGUGAGGGAAGAAGGCUCUUGGGUUGUAAACCUCUUUUCUUAGGGAAGAACAAAAUGACGGUACCUAAGGAAUAAGCAUCGGCUAACUCCGUG
rnacentral:rRNA from 1 species